rnacentral:lncRNA from 1 species
UGUAAUCCCAGCCACUCAGGAGGCUGAGGCAGAAGAAUCGAUUGAACCCGGGAGGCGGAGGUUGCAGGUGAGCUGAGAUCACACCACUGCACUCCAGCCUGGCGACAGAGUGAGACUCUGUUUCAAACAAACAAACACACAAAAAAACACACACCUGCACACGACCCGACACACUCAGAUACUGAGACAAACACAUUCCCUGCAACACACACAAACACACAAUCCAUGAUACACCGACAAAAGAGACACUCAUCCUGCAGACACACAUCUUCCACCAGAUACACGGAAACAUGAGAGAAACACAUUAAACACACUACCUGCAGCACAUAGCUCACCACCAGACAGAAAUGCAGACAGGCUGGGUGCAGUGACUCACGCCUG